rnacentral:rRNA from 1 species
UACGAAGGAUGCGAGCGUUAUCCGGAUUUAUUGGGCUUAAAGGGAGCGUAGGCGGUCUUAUAAGUCAGUGGUGAAAUCUCGUUGCUUAACAACGGACGUGCCAUUGAUACUGUAGGACUUGAGUACAGUUGCCGUUGGCGGAAUGUGUCAUGUAGCGGUGAAAUGCAUAGAUAUGACACAGAACACCGAUUGCGAAGGCAGCUGACGAAACUGUAACUGACGCUGAGGCUCGAAAGCGUGGGGAUCAAACAGG